rnacentral:lncRNA from 1 species
CUGCAAAUCCCUCCCACUCACCAAACUGCUGCCGCCUGCAAUUCCACAAUGAGCACUUUGACGCUGCACAGUGAAGGACGCUAGAGGCAUCUGCGUAAAAUGAUGUUGGAUCCAAUGGCACCAAGAGCCACCAGCACAGUGGAUAGAAACAAAGGCCCUGUACUGAAUCCUGCCCUGCCUCCUAAUUAGCUAGGACCUUGCAUAUGAGCAUGAACAUCAGCUCUUA